AGGCGUACUGGCGAACGUAAGCGGAGUACAGCGCUUCGGCCUCCGCGUACUCGCCCUUCUGGAAAUGAGCUUGGGCAAGCGCUAGGGUCGCGAGGUUUUCUUGCCCUUGCUGCCCUUCCAUAGCGGUCGGAGGCCUAGCUUUCCGUGUAGAAUUGGGGUUGAUCUCUGAGCGAUUAGAGGCGGCACGACAAAGGAAAUACAACUGAAUCCACAACUGCUCAGCAGGCUCAUUGGCACCUACAGCUAUGACCAGCCAAACUUCACCAAAUAAUCUUGACGGAAUAGUGCUUAAGUCUGGCCUGAAACCAUAAAAUGAGAGGAAGUAAGAUCGUGAGAAAUGGAGAACAUUAUUAGCUACAUAAAACAGGAUCCAAGUUUCUGAAAACAUACAUUCUUGUCUUCUCCAUCAUUGCAAACAAAUCAGGAUUAUCUUUGGCCCACUUCAUAUCCCAGACAUCUUUUCGCUCCAAUUUUAACAACUCGCCAAUAACUUGCUGUCCUGUGCUGUCUGUUACCCGAGCAUCCAAGUCAAAGAAGGUCAGAACUCCUGAGAUGUCUAUGAUAGCAAGACGACUACAAAUAAUGAAAGUGGAGAAGGGGAAAAAAAUUGUAAAAGUACUAUCUGCGUUCAUGAAUAUAAUUACU